rnacentral:rRNA from 1 species
GAUGAACGCUGGCGGCGUGCCUAAUACAUGCAAGUCGAGCGAACAGACGAGGAGCUUGCUCCUCUGACGUUAACGGCGGACGGGUUAGUAACACGUGGAUAACCUACCUAUAAGACUGGGAUAACUUCGGGAAACCGGAGCUAAUACCGGAUAAUAUAUUGAACCGCAUGGUUCAAUAGUGAAAGACGGUUUUGCUGUCACUGAUAGAUGGAUCCGCGCCGCAUUAGCUAGUUGGUAAGGUAACGGCUUACCAAGGCAACGAUGCGUAGCCGACCUGAGAGGAUGAUCGGCCACACUGGAACUGAGACACGGUCCAGACUCCUACGGGAGGCAGCAGUAGGGAAUCUUCCGCAAUGGGCGAAAGCCUGACGGAGCAACGCCGCGUGAGUGAUGAAGGUCUUCGGAUCGUAAAACUCUGUUAUUAGGGAAGAACAAAUGUGUAAGUAAAUAUGCACGUCUUGACGGUACCGAAUCAGAAAGCCACGGCUAACUACGUG